rnacentral:rRNA from 1 species
GAUGAACGCUGGCGGCGUGCCUAAUACAUGCAAGUCGAGCGAACGGACGAUAAGCUUGCUUCUCUGCUGUUAGCGACGGACGGGUGAGUAACACGUAGAUAACCUACCUAUAUGACUUGGGUAACUUCGUGAAACCGGAGCCAAUACCGGAUGAUAUUUUGAACGGCAUGGUUCAAAAGAGCAAGACGGUCUUGCUGUCACUUAUAGAUGGAUCCGCGCUGCAUUAGCUAGUUGGUAAGGUAACGGCUUACCAAGGCAACGAUGCAUAGCCGACCUGAGAGGGUGAUCGGCCACACUGGAACUGAGACACGGUCCAGACUCCUACGGGAGGCAGCAGUAGGGAAUCUUCCGCAAUGGGCGAAAGCCUGACGGAGCAACGCCGCGUGAGUGAUGAAGGUCUUCGGAUCGUAAAACUCUGUUAUUAGGGAAGAACAUAUGUGUGAGUAACUGUGCACGUCUUGACGGUACCUAAUGAGAAAGCCACGGCUAACUACGUG